AAAAUUCCCAGGUAACGCUGGGUAAUGAAGUGUCUCGAGAUGGGAAAAUACAAGGGAAACUGUCGAUUGAUUGAGUUAUUUUACACUGGGCCGGGUUGAAUCGGGCGAAACCCGGCACGUCAUCCAGCGAAAGCGGGGAGGGAGGGGAGUGCCCAUCUCAAAUGGAAGAGGAAUCUCCGCCGCUCGGUCAUUUUGUCAACAUAGUGCACCGUCCAGAAACAUACAUCUCUUUCCAUGACUAGUUUUCAUUGGGAGGGCAGAUAGUGUUUUUAUCCAAAGCAAUCACAGAAUCCUAAUAAUUUCUACACGUGCUUAAUUACGUCACUUUUGCAUUGCGCAGACUUCGCCAUAAGACAGAGUGGGGCAGCCAGGUUCCAAAUCGAAUGUAAUCAACUUUCAACCCGGCAAAAACACGCCUAAACGGGUGCCCGGGCGAGAUUAAUCGAACCCCCUCUCUAAUACAGGCUAAUUGUGGGGCUGCGUUUUGCAUUUUUUAUUUGUAUUUAACCUUUAUUUAACUAGGCAAGUCAGUUAAGAACACAUUCUGGGCCAAUUGUGCGUCGUCCUAUAGGACUCCCAUUCACGGCAGGAUGUGAUACAGCCUGGUUUCGAAUCAGGUACUAUAGUGAAGCCUCUUGCGCUGAGAUGCAGUGCCAUAGACGGCUGCGCCGCUCGGGAGCCCUGCAAUUUAGGUGGGUGUGUCCUUGAUUAUGAAACCCCACCAUGCAUAAUUUAGUAGGCUAUUUAAUAAAGGUGUCAAAUGGGUAAGUUCUCUUCCUUCUGGUGAAAGAUUAACUCCAAAGCCCAAUAGCUAUUUUUUCGUCUAAAUUGAGAGAGAACUAUCUUCUUUCUUUUAUCAACUUGUAUCUUUUAGACCUAUUUCCCCCCCCAUUGUAUUUAUAAAAACGUUUCUUAUUUAUUUGACAAUCAUUCCUGUCCUAUCGAACAUGGCUCACGUAAAGAAUGGGAACAUCCAAAAGAUGGACCCAGAGGAUCCCUUUCUCCUGGUACCUGAUAAGACGUAAGUCUCCUACUUCACAACUCUAUGCUAAGAUACACACUGAUUUAGAUCUUCCCUCUAUUUAAAAGAGCUAUCAGAAGUCCAUAAGCU
rnacentral:lncRNA from 8 species